rnacentral:lncRNA from 1 species
AUGUUUGUAUUGAAUUUUAUUGGAUUUUUGUGAUUUAAAACUUAUUAAAAUCACUUGAGGAAUCCAAUAAUUAUUAAUGGGUCUCUUGGGAGCCCAACUAAAAGUUUCAUGUGUGAUGUUUAGUCCCACAUUGAAAACCAAAAGGGUGUUUCACUACAACAAAAAUGGUCUACAGUGACACUUUUAAAUAUCAGUACAUGUCAAAAAAAUUGCUCCUAGCUAAAUUACCUACACUUUUAAAACGUGUUGCUAUAUGUAGGGUCGCUAGGUAUAUAAUGAUAGUUAAAGAGUGUCGGUAUAAGGCAAAAAGAGUGCUGCUAGUUUACUAACACUUAUUUAAGCAUUUAGCAACUGCCGGAACUCUACCUCGUUGGCUACGGUGGCGGAGGAUGAGGAGAGGGAAGGGCUCUUCGUCUAAAAUUUCAGUGGAUUGAGUAAAUGGAAAAGGGGAGAUGGUAAUCGAUUUUUUUUUUUUCUUUUCUGUUUGUAAUCGGGCCGAAUGGACUGGGUGGGGUGGAUUGAGUAGAGUAACCUUUUAUUUUUGAUUGGAUUGGGCUUUUUAUUUAUGCAUUAGUAGAUUUUUUUUAAAGUUUUGGUAUAAAUGGGACACUUACACAAAAGUGUCCCAAACAUGUGUCGCUAUAACCUAAUUCUAUUGUAGUGUUUGUGGUUUUUAUAUAUUCCCUUGUUCUCACACUAAUUGCUUGGAAGAAAAUCA